CGGAGGUGGCAGCAGUAGGGUGAGGGAAAGCAACAGUAGCCCCGGGGUAGAGGGGUGCCCCUGAGCCUUGAAGGAUGUGGUGAUCUCUGAGCUGAGGAAGCACAAGCUUCUUGGAAUGGAAUGACCAUCAAGCGACCGUAUAGAUGCUCAAGAUCAGGUUGGCUGAUUCCCUGACAUCCCAGCAACCCGGAAACUAACUGGCACAGAGGAAGACAUGGCUGCCUGCGGCUGACGUUUGUGUCUUCGUGCUGCGAGGCAUCCGUGGUAUGAACGUGCUACAUUUUAAUCAUCCAUUCUAUUGGUGCACAUCUGGGGAGCUUCCUGCCUGGGGAAUAUGGUGUUGCUGGGAAAAUGCUCGCGUGCAUGUUUUGGUGAGCCCACAGUAUGUUUCUGUUGGGGAUACACAUAGGGACGGGAUCGCUGGGUCACAGGGAACCUCUGUGGGUAGGCCAAACGGGCUGCCAGUAUUCCUCAUCCCCAGGUUAUUCUAACCUCUGGCCAGAGCUGAGCAAUGCUGUUCUACCGGUAGUGGUCAGCCCAGCGCCAGGGAUACCAGGUGGGAGGCUCAUGUGGUCACCCAGCACCCGGGGAGAUGCAAACGUUGGAGGACAGCAAGAUGUCUAGGGAAGGGGGAGCAGGUGGCCGUGGGGGAAUAGUGUCAGAAAAAAAAAAAAAAGGAAAAACUGCAAGAAGAUGAAAGAAGGAAAAAGGAAGAGGAAAAUGCUCCCUCGUGCUACUGGUGUUCCUGGCUUUAGCUUUGCCAAGGUCUCCUCCAGAGGAGGCACGAUCUGUUCAGUGGAGGGACAGGACGUGGAAUGGGCUGAAAGCGUGUCUGUUGCCGCAGUGGGGUAGCCUGUGAGCGUCGGCCAAAGGCUGCAGACACUAUGUCAUCAGACUCGCAGAGUGAGACGUGAAUUCACUGGCUACAUAUGUGCUGACCCGGUUGGGGGCAGGGAGGCCGGCUGGUGCCGUGGCCAGGACACUAGGAAGGAUUUGACAUGGGUUCUGGUCCCUGCUUGGCUGUGAACUGGUCGUGUGCUCCCGGGUGAAGUUAGUUACAGAGCCUUCUGGCCAGAUGACCUGCCAGGUCUUCUCCAGUUCUAGAGGCCUAUUAUAUAUGUCGCCCUAGGGGUCACCAGAAGGAGGUGAUCUGAGAAGAUGGCAUGAUGUAAUGGGUUUGUAUCUGAGAUGGUUUUGGAUGAAAACACAGCACUAUAUAAUUAGUUCCCCAAAUUAUACAGCACAGGACAAGACACUCUUAGAUGAUUUCAGUGUAGUUUUGCUUUGUUUUUGAAACUUAGGGGCAUGGCUAGGACAGCAGUGGCUGGGAGCCCUGGACAGACCCAUGCUGUCACCAGGAUGGCUCCAUGGCAGCACUCACCUUUUGCUUUCCUACCUAAUCCCCUCCCACUUGCCUUUAUGAUAACAAGCCUCUCGCCUGGGCCAGUGGGGAGAACCACUGAGCUGCUUUGGAAGAGGAGACCAGAACUGUGGUGGUAAUCCCUGCAGAAAGAGACCAACAGGCCUGAUCGUGUUCAGGUCCUAGAUCUGGCCAUUGUGCCCCAGAGAGCUCCCAGAGCA